rnacentral:tRNA from 1 species
GGAGAGGUGGCAGAGUGGCCGAAUGCGCCGGCUUGCUAAGCCGGUGAAGGGGUUUCCCUUCCGCGGGUUCGAAUCCCGCCCUCUCCGCCA